CAUCAUCAUAUCAUAAUCUUACUUCUUUUCUUCUUAAAAUUUUCGUAUUAAUUAUUAAGGGAGUAAGAAAACUAACCAAUAAACUUAGUAAUAUUAAUAAGAAUCUUCAAAGAUUUGUAUGGAACAAGUGUUCAUCCUCCUUCUUGCUUCAUUUUCGGAUUUUAAGCUCAAGGUUGCGGACAUUUGGCGAACUUUGGACAAACAUAGCUUGAAAUUAACCUGUUAUUGCUUUGCUUGGCAAAGGUAACCAGGUGAACCCGAGACAAGAUGCUUGAUUUGAUAGACUGUUUGGACCUAGGCUUGUACUUACAUGGAUCAAGGAUUCAUUUGCCCUUAUUCAUGCAUUAUGUACUUGUUUGUCGAUGUUGGAUUCACCAAAUCCCUUAUGUUCAUAUAGUUCAGGUUUCACGAUAAUCUCAUGCAUACGCUAUAUCUUUUCGGUAAUAUUUCGAGUCCAGCUCAGGGUGUUACAUCUGUAGUUACUUUUCCCAUUCAUA